rnacentral:rRNA from 1 species
UGGUGGGGUGACUUGUCUGCUUAAUUGCGAUAACGAACGAGACCUUAACCUGCUAAAUAGCCCGCAUUGCUCCGGCAGUGCGCUGGCUUCUUAGAGGGACCUUCGGCUCAAGCCGAAGGAAGUUUGAGGCAAUAACA